GACGAACCGUGCGAACGUUGUUCGGAUUCACUGGGCUUAAAGGGCGCGUAGGCGGCCGCUCAAGUCGGGGGUGAAAUCUUUCAGCUUAACUGGAAAAUAGCCUCCGAUACUGGGCGGCUCGAGGGAGAUAGGGGUGCGCGGAACUUCCGGUGGAGCGGUGAAAUGCGUAGAUAUCUGGAGGAACACCGGUGGCGAAGGCGGCAUCCUGGACCGGUAUUGACACUGAAAAGCGAAAGCCAGGGGAGCAAACGGG
rnacentral:rRNA from 1 species